rnacentral:rRNA from 1 species
UGAGCAACCUGCCCUUGACUCUGGAAUAACAGUUGGAAACAGCUGCUAAUACCGGAUAUGACUUUGUGUGACAUCACACGGAGUGGAAAGCCCUGGCGGUCAAGGAUGGGCUCGCGGCCUAUCAGCUUGUUGGUGAGGUAACGGCUCACCAAGGCUUCGACGGGUAGCCGGCCUGAGAGGGCGACCGGCCACACUGGGACUGAGAUACGGCCCAGACUCCGUAGGGAGG